UGGCGGACGGGUGAGUAACGCGUGGAAAACCUGCCGUAUACUGGGGGAUAACACUUAGAAAUAGGUGCUAAUACCGCAUAAGCGCACAGCUUCGCAUGAAGCGGUGUGAAAAACUCUGGUGGUAUACGAUGGUUCCGCGUCUGAUUAGCUAGUUGGUGGGGUAAUGGCCUACCAAGGCAACGAUCAGUAGCCGGCCUGAGAGGGUGAACGGCCACAUUGGUACUGAGACACGGACCAAACUCCUACGGAAGGCAGCAG
rnacentral:rRNA from 1 species